AGCGAACGCUGGCGGCAGGCUUGACACAUGCAAGUCGAGCGGGCGUAGCAAUACGUCAGCGGCAGACGGGUGAGUAACGCGUGGGAACGUACCUUUUGGUUCGGAACAACCCAGGGAAACUUGGGCUAAUACCGGAUAAGCCCUUACGGGGAAAGAUUUAUCGCCGAAAGAUCGGCCCGCGUCUGAUUAGCUAGUUGGUGAGGUAACGGCUCACCAAGGCGACGAUCAGUAGCUGGUCUGAGAGGAUGAUCAGCCACAUUGGGACUGAGACACGGCCCAAACUCCUACGGGAGGCAGCAGUGGGGAAUAUUGGACAAUGGGCGCAAGCCUGAUCCAGCCAUGCCGCGUGAGUGAUGAAGGCCCUAGGGUUGUAAAGCUCUUUUGUGCGGGAAGAUAAUGACGGUACCGCAAGAAUAAGCCCCGGCUAACUUCGUGCCAGCCGCCGCGGU
rnacentral:rRNA from 1 species